UGGGGAAUUUUCCGCAAUGGGCGAAAGCCUGACGGAGCAACGCCGCGUGAGGGCUGAAGGCCUCUGGGCUGUAAACCUCUUUUAUCAAGGAAGAAGAUCUGACGGUACUUGAUGAAUAAGCCACGGCUAAUUCC
rnacentral:rRNA from 1 species